CUUGCCAUUUUACUCCAACGUCAGAGAGUCCUAGCUCUAAUUCUUCUCGGAGCUCCCAUUGUCCCAUCUAGCUGCAUUUCCCGUGCUCGUCAUCCGUCGCGUUCUCGUGUCGUUGUCGUCUGUCGCAUGCUCGUUGUCCCUCACAUGCGCCAUCACCAUCACUGCUCGGGUGCCUUGUCCACGGGUUGUCCACCAUUGCUGGUCGUCUGCCAUUAGUGGAUCCAUCGCCUCGCUGUGCCAGCCUUCGUCCCUCCCUUGCUACCUGACUUGCUGGUCAUUAUCCCCAUGUUUUUGCCUCUACAAUAACAGAUUUUUGUUGGCAAUUUAGAUGCAAAUGUUAUAGAUGAUUAGCUGUGACAAGUCUUUGGGCAUUAUGGAGUGUUAGUUCAUGUGAAGAUUCCAUCCGACAAGAGAUGUGGAUUUGUGCAAUUUGCCGACAGAUAUUUGAUGUUUGGUAUUUUAGUAUAUGUGUAGCGUUAAAUUACUUUUUUCAUAAGAAGGUCCUGCCUGUGAUAUGAUUUUUAAUGCAUCAGGAAUUAAGCUGAAAAGGCAAUGAGAGUUUUGAAUGGAACACUUUUAGGUGGGCAAAAUGUUAAACUUUCAUGGGGACGGAGUCCUUCAAACAAAUAGGUAAUAAAACUUGUCUAUAAUUGUUGUCUUAGCUGCAUGUGUCAUAAUAUCUUGAUGAUUAUUCAUGAAUUUACAUGAUUUUAGACUCAAAUAGACCCAAACCAAUGGAAUAGUAGUGGAUAUUAUGGAUAUCCAUAAGGCAAUGAAAAUUAUGGUUAUUUUCCCACUAGAUAGGACCCCAAUAUGUAUGAAAGCUAUCCAGGGUAUGCAAAUUACCAACCUUCUCAGUAGCAGCAACAAAGGGGAUAUAUAUAGUUAAGAAGCCAAACCCCGCUUUCCAUUUUUUGUUACCAUUCUAUAUUCCUUUGUACUUAUUUUCAGUUGCUUCUAUGUUCAUGGAAAAUUAGUCAACUUUAUUCCUUUUUUUAUUUUUCCUUUUUUUUUUUCUGGUUAGUUAUCUAUGGUUGCUAUAUUAGGAUUUAUAUUUGUUUUAAACCUUUGUAUCAAAUCAUGCGUGCAGGGUACUUUGUUGAUGUUCAUAUAUUUGAUAGAUUGGUCUAUUAGAUAUGUAUUUCUAAUUAAAAUUUGUUUUUCACAGGUAACAUUAUUAUGGAUUUGUUGAGUGCCGUAGACUGUUAUUUAUUUCUCACUUUUUCUUGAUCUUUUCAUCUUUUAAUUAUGUUUAUCAUUACAAUUUUUUAUUGUAUUGUGAUAUUGUCAUGUCUUUUAUCUCUUUCGAUUAAUUUAUGUUAAAUUAUUUAAAAAAAUCUCGUGUAAAUGUUAGUAUAUUUGAGAGAAGAAGGCAGGUUAGAAUAGACAGGGACAAAGAAAAGGGUAGAGGAAAGACUGCUGUUGCUGCAUCUUCUCAUCCAACAAUAACCUCUCCUGCUGCAUCAUCACAACCACGUACUUCCUACCACACCUAUUGCUGCAUCUUCACAAUCACUAUCCACCACAUCUGCUGUUGCAUCUUCUCAAAACCACCUCUCAUAGUUGCUAUUUCAGAUUCUUAGACUCUGAUCGUAGCUACUGGUGCUGCAGAUUUUGAAGCUCCUAUCAUAGUACCUCCUGGAUCUUCACAAGUUGUAUAAAAGAGAAUAGAAGAUGUACUGAGAAAAGAGAAAUCUCAGAGAAAUAUGAACCUAUUAUAGGUGGAAGACAAAUGUAUAUAAAAUUUUACAAUUUA